rnacentral:tRNA from 1 species
GCCUCCGUGGCCGAGUGGGUAUAACACUAGGCUUGCACUCCGGGGAACCCGGGUUCGAUUCCCGGCGUGGUCG